CGCGGGGGGUGGGGGCUAGGAGCUGGGGGCGGGGUCGCGCUGGACAGCCCAGAAAGCUCGUCCACGUCACAAAGCUGUUGUCCCCUCUCCCCCAUCACAGCACCCGAGGUCCGGACCAACUUGGCCUCACUCCAGGGAUUUUGCUAGACCGUAUACCGCUUCAUGCUAUCCAUCCAGGGGCUCCCAGAAUGGUGGCACGGGGCCUGGGGCACCAAAGAGCCAUCCUUCCUUGGAGAGAUCUGGUUUGGGAUCCCAGCUACUCUCGCCCUCCAGCCCGCCUCGCUUGAAACUUCCGGCAAUAGAGACUCCUUUGACGUUUAAAGAAAACAAGGACAAAACACUGGCAGCACAACGUUUCCACUGUGGAACAGCUAAGCUGCUGGGAUGGCGUCUGGGCAAGGCGGGUUUUUCAAUGGAGCCUGCCUCUCUUUGGAGUAGGUGGCUUAGGCUGUGCUGAUGCCAUCUUUGCCUGGUUGUCAAAAAGAGAUCCAGAAAUAUAGGCUUGUGGAAUGUUGGAGCUGGAAGUCUUGUCCAACUGAACUUAUUUAACAACCCUGGAAGCAACUUGGGAAUAGAAGAAAGUCUUCUAUGAGAGUUUCCAGAACUAGGUGGCAGCAAUGAAGAUAGGAGAGAUUAUCAGAGGCAGAAGGAGCAGUAAUAAAAUGCAAAAAAUUAUAGACAGCAAAUUAAUUUUUAUUCCUCUGUUCUUUUCUACUGAGUUUAAAAUUCCAU